rnacentral:misc_RNA from 1 species
GGUGGCGGGGGUGAGGGAGGAAAAGGUGGCGGUGGGGGAGGAGAAUCAGGAGGCAAUGGUGGAGAACCCACUGGUAGAGAAGGAAGCUCAAAAGAUUUGGUGACUAGAGUCUCCAGAACUCCAUUGAGCAAUGCUGCGGUGCAUCCAUUUCAGAAGAACUUGUGAACAAUGGUCUUUCAACCUUUUGGUGUCCAGACACAUCCUCCAUUUCAAGUUCACCAUCCACAUCUUCUAAGAUGCAAUGACGCCUGUCAUUUGAAGUAAUAAUACAAAUUUCUGACUCUCCUAAAGUACAGGUGGGUUCUGC